UUGACUAUGGAUGAUAAGUGCAUUAAAAGACUGAAAACUGUGUCGGAAAAACUCGAUGGAAGUCGUGCUGACCUUGAAUCUAUUCUCGGCAUUCUGAAAUCACACAAUAAUUAUGAGUAUCUGAUUGGAUUGCAUCCUCGCUUAUCCACAACAAGCAAACCUGUGCAUGGUCGAGAUACACAAAUAGAACAGCUGCUAGACAUGGUACUGCACAACAAGUCAAACUCUGUGCAUCCUCCAGAAUCCACCGAGCAAGAAGAAGCAGGAGGGAGAUCGUGCAUGGGCCAUCCAAGACUUAUUCUUAUUCAAGGAGCAGCUGGGGUGGGUAAAACAACACUUGCUCAAGUAAUAUAUAACCACCAUUUUGUCAAGGAAGCUUUCGGGAUCAGGGGAUGGGUUUUUGUCCAUAAAUGUGCUGAAGGAACCAUAUGUGAGAGUGUUGUUCAAUCUUUUAAAGCAGAGCAGCAACAUUCUUCAGAAUGCAAUCCCGCUAGCAUAUUGGAAGGCAAGAGAUUUUUACUUGUCCUUGACGACAUACAGCUUAAUUUUCUUAACAUAUGGGCAGAGUUGAGCUCUAUCUUAACUAAGGGAAAGCAAGGGAGUAUUGUGUUGGUGACAACACGAGAUCAUGUUGCAGAAAGGAUGGGUAAAAUUAUUGAAAAAAACGAUUGUAUUUCAUUGCCCCAUCUGCCUGAGUCUACGCUAUGGACCAUUUUAAAGGAUCAUACACUUCAAGAACAGGAAAACGAAUCCCUGCAAUCAAUUGGUCAGAAAAUAGCUGGCAAAUUACAUGGCUUACCUCUGCUAGCAGAGUUAAUUGGACCGCUGCUGGGACAAAAGUUAAAUGUUGAACAUUGGACAAAUGUUUCUGACAGUAUUUGGUGGAAAUAUGCUGUAGAUCGGGACAAUCUUGCCUUUCCUUCUGUGAAAAUUGUAUGUGAAUACUUCACUCUUCCCCUGAAGGAAUGCCUCUGUUAUUGUUCAAUAUUUCCAUCUGGAUACUUGUUUGAAAAGAAUAGAUGGAUGCACAAGUGGAUGUCAAAUUUUGCACACCAGGAAGGCAUAGAAUCAAUGAAAGAACUAUUUUUAGAUGAGCUUAUCAGCAUAUCAUUUCUCAAGCCAGUGCAUUGGAAAAAUAUGUAUGCUAUGCAUGAUCUACUUAGAGAAUCAAUUGACAGGGAUGAAUUAUAUGAUGCUACAGAGAGAGGCAGAGGGAAGCGAGCACUUGAUCACCACCGGAUCAUUUAUAUUAGUAAGUUUGAUGUGCAUUUGGAUUUAAGUAAACUGAGAACCAUGGUAAUUACUGAUAGUUACAGCACGGGGAAUGAAAAACUCAAUGAAGUUUUGUCUCAUUCAAGUAAUCUGCGGGUGCUAGACUUGUCUAACGUUAAGGAUGGAUUUGAUGGAUCCAACCGGUGAUUCACAUCAGAUCAGAAUUUCCAUUGGUAUCAGUCCUCCUGAUGUCAUUCAUACCUUUGAAAAUCUCCGGUUUUUAGAUCUCUCAUACACAAAGAUCACAAAAAUUCCAGAUUCGUUCUGUAAGCUAGAGCUCUUACAAGUUCUUGGUCUGCGAGGAUGUCAUUUUGAAAGUUUGCCAAAAAAAUGAACGAACUAAUUAACCUAAGGUACCUAUAUGCAGAAGGAUGCACAUUAUCUCUGAUUCAUAAAAUAGGGCAACUAACUAACUUGCAAGAGUUAGAAGAAUUUCAUGUCAGCGAGAAAAAUCAGAUAGUAGAACUGGGGAACUUGAAGAAACUUGGUGGACAAUUGUGUAUUGCUAACCUUGAAAAGGUGUCACUGAAAGAUGUUGCACAUAAAGCUGAAUUGUGCAGAAAAACAAACCUCAAAACGCUGGAGUUAAAAUGGAACAAUUCGAUUGAUCCAACUUCAUCUGACUCUGAUAAUUGCAGGACCAUCCUUGAAGCCCUAGAACCACCUAGAGAACUUAAAGAGCUGAAGAUCCAAGGUUACAGAGGAUCUACCUUUCCAAAGUGGGCAGAGACGAAUCAAGAUUUCAAAUGUCUAGAAAGCAUUCAUAUUAGUCAUUGCAAGAACCUAGGAUGUCUUCCACCUCUUGGAUUGAUUCCCAAUCUCAAAUUUCUCUUACUCGCCGACUUACCAUCUAUAGAAAAAAUUGACGAUGCUUUUUAUGGAAAUUAUGGAACAGCAUUCCAGUCAUUGGAGGAGAUAACUUUUCAAAGGAUGUCAGCAUGCGAUGGGUGGUCUGCAUUAGAAAGAAGGAAAUCCAUGCCACAGCUCAAAAAGGUCACAAUUGAAAGUUGUCCUAAAUUGAAGGAAGCACCAUUGCAUUGCUUCAGAGAAACGCUAUUGGAACUUGUUCUAUCAGAUUGUGGUUCAAUUUUAAUGGGUGAGGGAUGUCUUCAUGGUUUCAGAAAACUAAAGCAUUUGAGAGUCUGCAAAUACUCUGGUGCAAUCAAUCUCUCAUGUCCUUCAUUGACAUCACUUUCAGUGUUGAAUGUUUCAAAUGAUGGGAGCAAAAUAGAUUUAGGAGGUGGCACAGAACAACUCCAAAAUCUCAGGUGUUUGGUGAUAAAUGGUGAGGUCCUUCCUUCAAAUAAAAUAAAAUGGUGAGGUCCCAGAUAUAAUAGAACCACUCAUGCAGGCGAAGAUGUCUUCAGUGUCAACAGUUGAAAUGCCACUGAUUGCAUGCGCUGCAGCACCUACACCUCCAGAUACGGAGCCAAUCAGUUUCCCCUUUCCGGCAACAUGAGUGAUUUCACCCUUACCAGAGGCACCAGCUACCUUUGAUAUUAUGGAUUUUGAUGCUAUGGUGAGUGUGCUAGAAAAGGAAAAAAAAUGAUGGAAGUGUUCAAAUGUCGCAUGGAAACCAUAUCAGUGCUAAGCACACUCUUAGGGACUUGAGCUACCUACUUGAUAAUAAUGGACUAUCUGAUAUUCUCAAUAAUAUGGAUUGCACAAAGGAACUAGUUGCCGAGCUUGGUCACAAUAUACCUGAGGAAAUAUAAGUAGCCCUAAAUAACCUCUGCAAGCUUGGAGAGGAAAAAGAAGGCAAUUUAUGAAGCCGGUGAGCGCUAGGGACAUCGGACCAGUGGAAAACAUACGAAAGAGCAAAGCAAAUCGAAGACGUACCCCCACCAUGUUAUAUGAAGAGCUUGACGAGGUACAACAACAGGUGAAUGAUCUUACUCUUUCAAUUUCCGGGAAAAAUUCUAUUGCCCGAAAAAAACUGCUGUGUGAGGAUGCUAAGGCCCUCACGAUGAUGGGACGGCAACUGCUAGAACCGUGCGACGAGAUUGCUGACAAAAUGCUGUUAAUCCGGUUCCUGAGGACUAUUAAAGUAGCACGUUUCCAACUCCAUAGCCUUCUCGGCCAGCAACCAUGACCCCAUGAGUCGAAGAGUCGGGUCUAGGUCCUCUAUCUAUACUUGUUGCUCGUUAUAAAAUCAUGGUUUGUUUUCACAAACCUGUUAAAUACUACGCACUAAUCCUGGGAGAGAUUGUUCAAUGGAGCAAUUUGGUUAGAAUCAAUGCCAUAUCGUGUGCCCAUACCUCUCGUUGUCCCGUUGUUGAACAUAGGCCAUGAAAAUCAAACAAGAAGUCAAAUUCACAUCCACCAAUACCCAGAUCAAACA